UACGUAGGGUGCAAGCGUUGUCCGGAAUUAUUGGGCGUAAAGAGCUCGUAGGCGGUCUGUCGCGUCGGCUGUGAAAACCCGAGGCUCAACCUCGGGCCUGCAGUCGAUACGGGCAGACUAGAGUGCUGUAGGGGAGACUGGAAUUCCUGGUGUAGCGGUGAAAUGCGCAGAUAUCAGGAGGAACACCGGUGGCGAAGGCGGGUCUCUGGGCAGUAACUGACGCUGAGGAGCGAAAGCGUGGGGAGCGAACAGG
rnacentral:rRNA from 1 species